GGAGGUCCUGCCUGCCCAGUGACAACUAGUUAAACGGCCGCGGUAUUUUGACCGUGCUAAGGUAGCGCAAUCACUUGUCUUUUAAAUGGGGACCUGUAUGAAUGGCGGAACGAGGGCUUAACUGUCUCCUUUUCCUAGUCAAUGAAAUUGAUCUACCCGUGCAGAAGCGGGUAUACUAAUACAAGACGAGAAGACCCUUUGGAGCUUAAGAUAAAAGGCCAACUAUGUCAAAGGCCCAAAUAAAACUAAGCCAAACAAAACAGCCAACUGGCCAAUAUCUUCGGUUGGGGCGACCGCGGGGGAAAACAAAGCCCCCACGUGGAACGGGGAAUAUACCCUAAAACCAAGAGAGACAUCUCUAAGUCACAGAACAUCUGACCAAAAGAUCCGGCCAACCAAGCCGAUCAACGGACCAAGUUACCCUAGGGAUAACAGCGCAAUCCCCUCCAAGAGUUCAUAUCGACAAGGGGGUUUACGACCUCGAUGUUGGAUCAGGACAUCCUAAUGGUGCAGCCGCUAUUAAGGA
rnacentral:rRNA from 1 species